rnacentral:lncRNA from 1 species
AUAGCAGAAGCUGAGCUUAUCUGCGACAGGACUAUUCGGCCGGAAUUCGGGAAGCGAGUAGCAAAGUGAUCCCCCAUCUUUCCACCUAGCAGCCCUCCAAGUGAGCUUGCCAGUGCAAAUGUUAUCAUCAGGAGCCCAGUUCUGUUGUGCGUAAACCCCAUCAACUCCAGCCACAUUGGGGCAAAGGCCAAUGUUAUCAUCAGGAGCCCAGUUCUGUUGUGCGUAAACCCCAUCAACUCCAGCCACAUUGGGGCAAAGGCCAGGGCAGACCAUGGAAACGAGCCUGUGAC